rnacentral:lncRNA from 1 species
GCGGGUGAUAGUGGAGCUGUAGCGGGUGAUAGUGGAGCUGUAGCGGGUGAUAGUGGAGCUGUAGCGGGUGAUAGUGGAGCUGUAGGAGGUGGUAGUGGAGCUGUAGCGGGUGAUAGUGGAGCUGUAGAAGGUGAUAGUGGAGCUGUAGCAGGUGGUAGUGGAGCUGUAGCAGGUGAUAGUGGAGCUGUAGCAGGUGAUAGAUAGUGGAGCUGUAGAAGGUGAUAGUGGAGCUGUAGCAGGUGGUAGUGGAGCUGUAGCAGGUGAUAGAUAGUGGAGCUGUAGCAGGUGAUAGAUAGUGGAGCUGUAGCAGGUGAUAGUGGAGCUGUAGCGGGUGAUAGUGGAGCUGUAGCAGGUGAUAGUGGAGCUGUAGCGGGUGAUAGUGGAGCUGUAGCAGGUUAUAGUGGUAAACCAACCAGCUGGAUCUUUAUUUAGUUUUCUGCUCCUUUAAGUACAGAAGUGACCCUCCCAGCCAGUUAUGAUACACACACACACACACACACACACACACACACACACACACACACACACACACACACACAACACACACACACACUGUCAUGACACACUCCCAAAACACAGGAAAUGGGGUCUACUGGUGGUACACUGAUAAUUCUGUUCUGACAGUUUUAGUGCAUGAUGCUUGGGCAACAGGUUUACCCUUCACCCCCCC